rnacentral:rRNA from 1 species
UACCUUUAGUUGCCAUCAGGUAAUGCUGGGGACUCUAAAGGAACUGCCUACGCAAGUAGUGAGGAAGGCGGGGAGUGACGUCAAAUCAGCACGGCCCUUACGUCCAGGGCUACACACGUGCUACAAUGGCCGAUACAGAGGGCAGCUACCUGGUGACAGGAUGCAAAUCUCCAAAGUCGGUCUCAGUUCGGAUCGGAGUCUGCAACCCGACUCCGUGAAGUUGGAUUCGCUAGUAAUCGCGCAUCAGCCAUGGCGCGGUGAAUACGUUCCCGGGCCUU